AACGAACGCUGGCGGCGCGCCUAAUACAUGCAAGUCGAGCGAGAAGGUGUAGCAAUACACUUGUAAAGCGGCGAACGGGUGAGGAAUACAUGGGUAAUCUACCAUCGAGUGGGGAAUAACCAACCGAAAGGUUGGCUAAUACCGCGUACGCCUCCGAAUCUUCGGGUUCGGAGGGAAAGCUGCACUGUGAGUGUAGCGCUCUUUGAUGAGCUCAUGUCCUAUCAGCUUGUUGGUAGGGUAACGGCCUACCAAGGCUUUGACGGGUAGCUGGUCUGAGAGGACGAUCAGCCACACUGGCACUGCGACACGGGCCAGACUCCUACGGGAGGCAGCAGUAAGGAAUAUUGCGCAAUGGGCGAAAGCCUGACGCAGCGACGCCGCGUGGGGGAUGAAGGUCUUCGGAUUGUAAACCCCUUUCGGGAGGGAAGAUGGAGCGAGCAAUCGUUCGGACGGUACCUCCAGAAGCAGCCACGGCCAACUUCGUGCCAGC
rnacentral:rRNA from 1 species